rnacentral:rRNA from 1 species
GGACCCGCACAAGCGGUGGAUGAUGUGGAUUAAUUCGAUGCAACGCGAACAACCUUACCUACCCUUGACAUGUCUGGAAGGCUGCUGAGAGGCGGCUGUGCCCGAAAGGGAACCGGAACACAGGUGCUGCAUGGCUGUCGUCAGCUCGUGUCGUGAGAUGUUGGGUUAAGUCCCGCAACGAGCGCAACCCUUGUCCCUAGUUGCUACGCAAGGGCACUCUAGGGAGACUGCCGGUGACAAACCGGAGGAAGGUGGGGAUGACGUCAAGUCCUCAUGGCCCUUAUGGGUAGGGCUUCACACGUCAUACAAUGGACGGUACAGAGGGUUGCCAACCCGCGAGGGGGAGCCAAUCCCAGAAAGCCGUUCGUAGUCCGGAUUGCAGUCUGCAACUCGACUGCAUGAAGUCGGAAUCGCUAGUAAUCGCGGAUCAGCAUGUCGCGGUGAAUACGUUCCCGGGUCUU